UUAAAGUGAAAAGUUCAGUUUAGGGUUUAAAACCCUAAUGUUGACUAAAGGGAAGAGUUCAGUUUAGGGUUUAAAAGCCUAAUCCUGAUUAAAGGGAAGAGUUCAGUUUAGGGUUUAAAACCCUAAUGCUGAUUAAAGGGAAGAGUUCAGUUUAGGGUUUAAAACCCUAAUAAGGACUAAAGGGAAGAGUUCAGUUUAGGGUUUAAAACCCUAAUGCCGACUAAAGGGAAAGAGUUCAGUUUAGGGUUUAAAACCCUAAUGCUGACUAAAGGGAAGAGUUCAGUUUAGGGUUUAAAAUCCUAAUGCUGACUAAAUGGAAAAAAAUUCAGUUGAUGGUUUAAAACCCUAAUGCUGACUAAAGGGAAAAGUUCAGUUUAGGGUUUAAAACCAUAAUGCUGACUAAAUGGAAAAAGUUUAGUUUAAUGUUUAAACCCUAAUGCUGACUAAAGGGAAAACGUUCAGUUUAGGGUUUAAAAACCUAAUCCUGAUUAAAGGGAAAAGUUCAGUUUAGGGUUUAAAACCCUAAUGCUGACUAAAUGGAAAGAGUUCAGUUUAGGGUUUAAAACCCUAAUGCUGACUGAAGGGAAAAAGUUCAGUUUAGGGUUUAAAAACCCUAAUCCUGAUUAAAGGGAAAAGUUCAGUUUAAGGUUUAAAACUCUAAUCCUGAUUAAAGGGAAAAGUUCAGUUUAGGGUUUAAAACCCUAAUCCUGAUUAAAG
rnacentral:lncRNA from 1 species